AUAAACAACCUUUAGAAGUAAGACCCGUAGUAGAAUGAUUCUCGGCACCCACUUAUAACAUAGAGAAAUGAUUAGCCAAAUGGUCGUAUGAUAAACUUAAAGGAUAUGACUAUACAAUGAUCUCCUCUAGGAGCCUAAUAGACGACAUCUUAGAGAAAGGACCUUUCCCAGAUCAGGUUUUUCAAGUUUUUGACUUUAAAUCGUUAUACCCAUCGAUAUAUCUUGAACCCGCAUGUCUCCUCCUAUAUAGAUUUCUACUUCAACAUCUACCGGAAGACCAACGUAACCCGAAGUUAUUAAGAGACAUUUGCCAUCUUCUAGUCCACCAGUCUUAUUUUGUGUU
rnacentral:lncRNA from 1 species